GUUUGUUUGGAGUUAUAAAGAAUUUGACCUGCCCCCUGAUUAACAAUUAAAGGGCCGCAGUAUUAUAACUGUGCAAAGGUAGCAUAAUCAUUAGGUUUUUAAUUGGAAUCUUGCAUGAAUGGUUGGACAAAAGAAAGACUCUCUUUAUAUUAAAUUUUGAAUUUAACUUUUAAGUGAAAAGGCUUAAAUAUUCUAAAGGGACGAUAAGACCCUAUAAAACUUUACAUUGUGAUUAAUUUUAGUUGAAUUUGUAAAAUAAGAAUUUUGUUUGGUUAUUUGUUAUGUUGGGGAGACAUAAGUAAAAUAGUAUUUUAACUGCUUAAUAAUUAUACAAUUAUUAGUGAGUAAUAGAAGAUCCUUUUU
rnacentral:rRNA from 1 species